rnacentral:lncRNA from 1 species
UUGCUGGAAUUCUCAGAUUCGAAGAAAUGCACACGCCUGCGGUGCUCGAAGAGAAGUCCCUCGGAAGCUAGGCGGGUCGCUUUCGCAGCUGGGACUCCAAUGUUCCCAUUGGGAGCGGAGCUCUCGCCGCGGCAGCCCCCAGGCUCCCCUCGGCGCCUUAGAGCAAAGGAGGCGGGGGAUCGCGCUGCCCUUCGCCCGCGGCCUCGGAACCAUGAACUUGUAUUCCGGGCGCCGCGCUCCUGCCACAGUGCUCGGCUAAAGAGCUCUAAGGAAUUCGGGAUCCGGGCGGCAACCUGUCUGCGCCGCGCAUUCCUGCCCAGGUGGACCUUUCUUCCCCUGGGCUGGCCUGUGGAGUUUUGGGCAGCUCCCGGGCGGGGACGAGGGGAUGCGGUCUGGGGGCUAGUUUAGAAGCUUCGAGCGCAGCGAGAAAACAAAGGGAGCCUGGGGCUGGGAGGCUCUGCGGAGUCCCCGCCCGCCCUGCAGAUUAGCAGGCGCGUCGCGUCGGGGCUUCCAGGCCAGCUCUGCUCUGGGGAAUUAGAACGAACUCUAGCGGCCGUUUGCAACUCGGCUGUGGGCGCGAGGGCAUCAACAGGUGGCCGUGUGCAGCGGAGAGGCCAGUGGCGAGGACCCGGACUGGGGUGAGGACGGCUGGCCUUGGGGCUGACUGGGUGGCGGACGCGCUGGGUGACCUUUUGGCUUUUUCAUUUCCGAGGCCGGGGAGAAGGAAGUAGCUAAAGGUUUUUGUAAGUUCUGCCCUAGGGCUCUAAUUUCUGACAUACCCCUUGACUCCCCAGAAAUCCUUUGCAACAAAAAUUAAAACAGCUCAUAUGCAAAACUUU